rnacentral:lncRNA from 1 species
AUAGCCACUCCCCAUGUAGCCACCACCUGUCCCCUGUUCUCCGCUAGCACUACCACCAGAACUAGGUGCACUUCCAGCACGGCCACCAGCAGCCCCAUAUCCCCCAGAAUAAGAACCAUCACUCCCACCAUAGUUACCAUAUCCAAAACCUUGACUUCCAUAUCCAGAAGCGCCACUUGGAGAUUGACCCAUUGGUCCAGAAACACCAGCACCACCCGGAGCAUUCCAAGGACCUGUAGCUCCAUAGGCUGCAUUUGAACCAUAGCCUGAAGCACCAUAUCCAGAAGGAGUUUGGUUGUUCCAUUGGCUUUUCAUAGCACCAGGUGGGCCACUUACAUAACCAGCAUUAGGAGCAUUCGGGUUUCCAUACGCCCCAGCAGGACCGCCAAAUCCAGUAUUGGCACUUCCAUAACCACCAACACCAUAACUCCCAUAACCACCAUAACCAACAGCACUAUUUGCUGCUCCAUAGCCAUAACCUGGUGCACCAUAGCCAGAAUAUGGUGGGAAACCACCACCAGUGGUCUGAGGUGGCAUGAAUCUAUUACCAUCCAUUCUACCUUCAUAUGCACUUGUAUUAGCACCAGAAGCACCAUAGCCUUGGUAGCCUCCACUACGGCCACCACCACCAGGAUUUGCAUCUUUAGGGAGGGCUCGUUUCACCUCUACAAGCUUACCAUUCAAAUCAUGGAAGGUCUUAUGUAAAACUCGAUCAACUGCAUCUUCAGUGUCAAAGGAUAUGAAUCCAAACCCACGGGGACGUUGAGUAUUUUGGUCAU